ensembl:misc_RNA Metazoa_SRP Metazoan signal recognition particle RNA
GCCAGGCACGGUGCGUACCUGUAGUCCCAGCUACUUGGGAGGCUGAGGUAGGAGGAUCGCUUGAGCCCAGGAGUUCUAGGCUGUAGUGCACUAUGAGGAUCAGGUGUCCACACUAAGUUCAGCAUCAAUAUGGUGACCUCCCGGGAGCGGGGGACCACCAGGUUGCCUAAGGAGGGGUGAACCGGCCCAGGUCGGAAACGGAGCAUGUCAAAACUCCUGUGCUGAUCAGUAUUGGGAUCACGCCUAUGAAUAGCCACUGCACUCCAGCCUGGGUAACAUAGUGAGACCCCAUCUCUA